rnacentral:rRNA from 1 species
AUUAUGGCUCAGGAUGAACGCUAGCGGCAGGCUUAACACAUGCAAGUCGAGGGGCAUCGGGAGUAGCAAUACUUGCCGGCGACCGGCGCAAGGGUGCGUAACGCGUGAGCAACAUGCCCGUAUCAGGGGGAUAAUCCAUGGAAACGUGGUCUAAUACCCCAUAGUAAUUAUGUAAGGCAUCUUAUAUAAUUUAAAGCUUUGGUGGAUACGGAUUGGCUCGCGUGACAUUAGCUAGAUGGUAAGGUAACGGCUUACCAUGGCUACGAUGUCUAGGGGUUCUGAGAGGAAGGUCCCCCACACUGGAACUGAGACACGGUCCAGACUCCUACGGGAGGCAGCAGUGAGGAAUAUUGGACAAUGGAUGGAAAUCUGAUCCAGCCAUGCCGCGUGCAAGGAAGACGGCCCUAUGGGUUGUAAACUGCUUUUGUAUGGGAGCAAUAAGGGCUACGCGUAGUCCGAUGAGAGUACCAUACGAAUAAGCACCGGCUAACUCCGUGCCAGCCGCCGC